rnacentral:rRNA from 1 species
UGGGGAAUAUUGCGCAAUGGGCGAAAGCCUGACGCAGCGACGCCGCGUGGAGGAUGAAGGUCUUAGGAUUGUAAACUCCUGUUAAGUGGGAAGAAAGGCUCAUUUCUAAUACAAAUGAGAUAUGACUGUACCAUUAGAGAAAGCACCGGCUAACUUCGUGCCAGCAGCCGCGGUAAUACGAGGGGUGCAAGCGUUAUUCGGCAUUAUUGGGCGUAAAGGGUGUGUAGACGGCUUCUUAAGUCAACUGUUAAAUUCUCCGGCCUAACCGGAGGUCAGCGGUAGAUACUGAUUAGCUAGAGGGUGGAAGAGAGAAGUGGAAUUCUCGGAGUAGCGGUAAAAUGCGUAGAUCUCGAGAGGAACACCGAUGGCGAAGGCAGCUUCUUGGUCCAUUUCUGACGUUGAAACACGAAAGCGUGGGGAGCAAACAGG